rnacentral:rRNA from 1 species
UAGAGUUUGAUCCUGGCUCAGGAUGAACGCUGGCGGCGUGCCUAACACAUGCAAGUCGAGGGGCAUCGCGGUGCAGCAAUGCACUGGCGGCGACCGGCGCACGGGUGAGUAACGCGUAUCCGACCUGGCCUUCACUCUGGAAUAGCCCCUCGAAAGAGGGAUUAAUGCCGGAUGCGUGGGAGAGUCACAUGGUUCUCCCAUGAAAGAUUCAUCGGUGAAGGAUGGGGAUGCGUCCCAUUAGGUUGUUGGCGGGGUAACGGCCCACCAAGCCUUCGAUGGGUAGGGGUACUGAGAGGUAGGUCCCCCACAUUGGAACUGAGACACGGUCCAAACUCCUACGGGAGGCAGCAGUGAGGAAUAUUGGUCAAUGGGCGAGAGCCUGAACCAGCCAAGUAGCGUGGAGGAAGAAGGUCCUAUGGGUUGUAAACUCCUUUUGUGCGGGGGUAAAGUGCGCCACGUGUGGUGCAUUGCAAGUACCGUACGAAUAAGCAUCGGCUAACUCCGUGCCAGCAGCCGCGGUAAUACGGAGGAUGCGAGCGUUAUCCGGAUUUAUUGGGUUUAAAGGGAGCGUAGGCUGGAUGUUAAGUCAGCGGUCAAAAGGAGCGGCUCAACCGUUCUUCGCCGUUGAUACUGGUAUCCUUGAGUGCGCAAGAGGUGGAUGGAAUUUAGGGUGUAGCGGUGAAAUGCUUAGAUAUCCUAAAGAACUCCGAUUGCGAAGGCAGUCCACUGGGGCGCAACUGACGCUGAAGCUCGAAAGUGCGGGUAUCAAACAGGAUUAGAUACCCUGGUAGUCCGCACAGUAAACGAUGAUCACUCGCUGUCGGCGAUAGACAGUCGGCGGCCAAGCGAAAGCGAUAAGUGAUCCACCUGGGGAGUACGCCGGCAACGGUGAAACUCAAAGGAAUUGACGGGGGCCCGCACAAGCGGAGGAACAUGUGGUUUAAUUCGAUGAUACGCGAGGAACCUUACCCGGGCUUGAACCGCAGCUGACCGGCGCAGAGAUGCGCCCUCCCUUCGGGGCAGCUGUAGAGGUGCUGCAUGGUUGUCGUCAGCUCGUGCCGUGAGGUGUUGGGUUAAGUCCCGCAACGAGCGCAACCCCUACUGCCAGUUACUAACAGGUAAAGCUGAGGACUCUGGCGGAACUGCCGGUGACAAACCGGAGGAAGGUGGGGAUGACGUCAAGUCAUCAUGGCCCUUAUGUCCAGGGCUACACACGUGCUACAAUGGUAGGUACAGAGUGAGGCGAAGGUGAGAGCUGGAGCAAAACGCAGAAAACCUAUCGUAGUUCGGAUUGAAGUCUGAAACUCGACUUCAUGAAGUUGGAAUCGCUAGUAAUCGCAUAUCAGCACGAUGCGGUGAAUACGUUCCCGGGCCUUGCACUCACCGCCCGUCAAG